GGGUUGUGAGGUUAAGCGACUAAGCGUACACGGUGGAUGCCCCGCAGUCAGAGGCGAUGAAGGACGUGCUAAUCUGCGAAAAGCGUCGGUAAGGUGAUAUGAACCGUUAUAACCGGCGAUGUCCGAAUGGGGAAACCCAGUGCAAUUCGUUGCACUAUCGUUAACUGAAUACAUAGGUUAACGAGGCGAACCGGGGAACUGAAACAUCUAAGUACCCCGAGGAAAAGAAAUCAACCGAGAUUCCCCAGUAGCGGCGAGCGAACGGGGAGCAGCCCAGAGUCUGAAUCAGCUUGUGUGUUAGUGGAACGGUCUGGAAAGUCCGACGGUACAGGGUGAUAGUCCCGUACACCAAAAUGCACAGGCUGUGAACUCGAAGAGUAGGGCGGGACACGUGGUAUCCUGUCUGAAUAUGGGGGGACCAUCCUCCAAGGCUAAAUACUCCUGACUGACCGAUAGUGAACCAGUACCGUGAGGGAAAGGCGAAAAGAACCCCGGCGAGGGGAGUGAAAAGAACCUGAAACCGUGUACGUACAAGCAGUGGGAGCACCUUCGGGUGUGACUGCGUACCUUUGUAUAAUGGGUCAGCGACUUAUAUUCUGUAGCAAGGUUAACCGUAUAGGGGAGCCGCAGGGAAACCGAGUCUUAACUGGGCGUUAAGUUGCAGGGUAUAGACCCGAAACCCGGUGAUCUAGCCAUGGGCAGGUUGAAGGUUGGGUAACACUAACUGGAGGACCGAACCGACUAAUGUUGAAAAAUUAGCGGAUGACUUGUGGCUGGGGUGAAAGGCCAAUCAAACCGGGAGAUAGCUGGUUCUCCCCGAAAGCUAUUUAGGUAGCGCCUCGUGAACUCAUCUUCGGGGUAGAGCACUGUUUCGGCUAGGGGUCAUCCCGACUUACCAACCCGAUGCAAACUACGAAUACCGAAGAAUGUUAUCACGGGAGACACACGGCGGGUGCUAACGUCCGUCGUGAAGAGGGAAACAACCCAGACCGCCAGCUAAGGUCCCAAAGUCAUGGUUAAGUGGGAAACGAUGUGGGAAGGCACAGACAGCCGGAUGUUGGCUUAGAAGCAGCCAUCAUUUAAAGAAAGCGUAAUAGCUCACUGGUCGAGUCGGCCUGCGCGGAAGAUGUAACGGGGCUAAACCAUGCACCGAAGCUGCGGCAGCGACACUAUGUGUUGUUGGGUAGGGAGCGUUCUGUAAGCCUGCGAAGGUGUGCUGUGAGGCAUGCUGGAGGUAUCAGAAGUGCGAAUGCUGACAUAAGUAACGAUAAAGCGGGUGAAAAGCCCGCUCGCCGGAAGACCAAGGGUUCCUGUCCAACGUUAAUCGGGGCAGGGUGAGUCGACCCUAAGGCGAGGCCGAAAGGCGUAGUCGAUGGGAAACAGGUUAAUAUUCCUGUACUUGGUGUUACUGCGAAGGGGACGGAGAAGGCUAUGUUAGCCGGGCGACGGUUGUCCCGGUUUAAGCAUGUAGGCUGGUUAUCCAGGCAAAUCCGGAUAAUCAAGGCUGAGGUGUGAUGACGAGGCACUACGGUGCUGAAGUAACAAAUGCCCUGCUUCCGUGAAAAGCCUCUAAGCAUCAGGUAACAUCAAAUCGUACCCCAAACCGACACAGGUGGUCAGGUAGAGAAUACCAAGGCGCUUGAGAGAACUCGGGUGAAGGAACUAGGCAAAAUGGUGCCGUAACUUCGGGAGAAGGCACGCUGGUGUGUAGGUGAAGUCCCUGCGGAUGGAGCUGAGACCAGUCGAAGAUACCAGCUGGCUGCAACUGUUUAUUAAAAACACAGCACUGUGCAAACACGAAAGUGGACGUAUACGGUGUGACGCCUGCCCGGUGCCGGAAGGUUAAUUGAUGGGGUUAUCCGUAAGGAGAAGCUCUUGAUCGAAGCCCCGGUAAACGGCGGCCGUAACUAUAACGGUCCUAAGGUAGCGAAAUUCCUUGUCGGGUAAGUUCCGACCUGCACGAAUGGCGUAAUGAUGGCUGUCUCCACCCGAGACUCAGUGAAAUUGAACUCGCUGUGAAGAUGCAGUGUACCCGCGGCAAGACGGAAAGACCCCGUGAACCUUUACUAUAGCUUGACACUGAACAUUGAGCCUUGAUGUGUAGGAUAGGUGGGAGGCUUUGAAGCGUGGACGCCAGUCUGCGUGGAGCCAACCUUGAAAUACCACCCUUUAAUGUUUGAUGUUCUAACGUUGGCCCCUGACCGGGGUUGCGGACAGUGUCUGGUGGGUAGUUUGACUGGGGCGGUCUCCUCCCAAAGCGUAACGGAGGAGCACGAAGGUUAGCUAAUCCUGGUCGGACAUCAGGAGGUUAGUGCAAUGGCAUAAGCUAGCUUGACUGCGAGCGUGACGGCGCGAGCAGGUGCGAAAGCAGGUCAUAGUGAUCCGGUGGUUCUGAAUGGAAGGGCCAUCGCUCAACGGAUAAAAGGUACUCCGGGGAUAACAGGCUGAUACCGCCCAAGAGUUCAUAUCGACGGCGGUGUUUGGCACCUCGAUGUCGGCUCAUCACAUCCUGGGGCUGAAGUAGGUCCCAAGGGUAUGGCUGUUCGCCAUUUAAAGUGGUACGCGAGCUGGGUUUAGAACGUCGUGAGACAGUUCGGUCCCUAUCUGCCGUGGGCGCUGGAGAAUUGAGGGGGGCUGCUCCUAGUACGAGAGGACCGGAGUGGACGCAUCACUGGUGUUCGGGUUGUCAUGCCAAUGGCACUGCCCGGUAGCUAAAUGCGGAAGAGAUAAGUGCUGAAAGCAUCUAAGCACGAAACUUGCCCCGAGAUGAGUUCUCCCUGAGACUUUAAGUCUCCUGAAGGAACGUUAAAGACGAUGACGUUGAUAGGCCGGGUGUGUAAGCGCAGCGAUGCGUUGAGCUAACCGGUACUAAUGAACCGUGAGGCUUAACCUUACAACGCCGAAG
rnacentral:rRNA from 1 species